rnacentral:rRNA from 2 species
CUGGAUUAGGGGGCUAAACAGCAGUCGAGCGGACAGAUGGGAGCUUGCUCCCUGAUGUUAGCGGCGGACGGGUGAGUAACACGUGGGUAACCUGCCUGUAAGACUGGGAUAACUCCGGGAAACCGGGGCUAAUACCGGAUGGUUGUUUGAACCGCAUGGUUCAGACAUAAAAGGUGGCUUCGGCUACCACUUACAGAUGGACCCGCGGCGCAUUAGCUAGUUGGUGAGGUAACGGCUCACCAAGGCGACGAUGCGUAGCCGACCUGAGAGGGUGAUCGGCCACACUGGGACUGAGACACGGCCCAGACUCCUACGGGAGGCAGCAGUAGGGAAUCUUCCGCAAUGGACGAAAGUCUGACGGAGCAACGCCGCGUGAGUGAUGAAGGUUUUCGGAUCGUAAAGCUCUGUUGUUAGGGAAGAACAAGUGCCGUUCAAAUAGGGCGGCACCUUGACGGUACCUAACCAGAAAGCCACGGCUAACUACGUGCCAGCAGCCGCGGUAAUACGUAGGUGGCAAGCGUUGUCCGGAAUUAUUGGGCGUAAAGGGCUCGCAGGCGGUUUCUUAAGUCUGAUGUGAAAGCCCCCGGCUCAACCGGGGAGGGUCAUUGGAAACUGGGGAACUUGAGUGCAGAAGAGGAGAGUGGAAUUCCACGUGUAGCGGUGAAAUGCGUAGAGAUGUGGAGGAACACCAGUGGCGAAGGCGACUCUCUGGUCUGUAACUGACGCUGAGGAGCGAAAGCGUGGGGAGCGAACAGGAUUAGAUACCCUGGUAGUCCACGCCGUAAACGAUGAGUGCUAAGUGUUAGGGGGUUUCCGCCCCUUAGUGCUGCAGCUAACGCAUUAAGCACUCCGCCUGGGGAGUACGGUCGCAAGACUGAAACUCAAAGGAAUUGACGGGGCCCGCACAAGCGGUGGAGCAUGUGGUUUAAUUCGAAGCAACGCGAAGAACCUUACCAGGUCUUGACAUCCUCUGACAUCCUAGAGAUAGGACGUCCCCUUUCGGGGCAGAGUGACAGGUGGUGCAUGGUUGUCGUCAGCUCGUGUCGUGAGAUGUGGUUAAGUCCCGCCAACGGAGCGCACCCUUGAUCUUAGUGCCAGCAAUCAGUGGCACUCUAAGGUGACUGCCGGUGACAACCGGAGAAGUUGGGGAUGACGUCCAAUCAUCAUGGCCCUUAGACCUGGCACCACGGGCAUUCAAUGGAUCAUGAGAAC